rnacentral:rRNA from 1 species
UACGGAGGGUGCAAGCGUUAUCCGGAUUCACUGGGUUUAAAGGGUGCGUAGGUGGGCAGUUAAGUCAGUGGUGAAAUCUCCGGGCUUAACUUGGAAACUGCCGUUGAUACUAUCUGUCUUGAAUACCGUGGAGGUGAGCGGAAUAUGUCAUGUAGCGGUGAAAUGCUUAGAUAUGACAUAGAACACCAAUUGCGAAGGCAGCUCGCUACACGAAUAUUGACUCUGAGGCACGAAAGCGUGGGGAUCAAACAGG